GAUGAACGCUAGCUACAGGCCUAACACAUGCAAGUCGAGGGACCGGCGCACGGGUGAGUAACACGUAUCCAACCUGCCCUUUACUCGGGGAUAGCCUUUCGAAAGAAAGAUUAAUACCCGAUAUAAAGGAUGGGGAUGCGUUCCAUUAGGUUGUGGGUGAGGUAACGGCUCACCAAGCCUUCGAUGGAUAGGGGUUCUGAGAGGAAGGUCCCCCACAGUGGAACUGAGACACGGUCCAAACUCGUACGGGAGGCAGCAGAGAGGAAUAUUGGGCAAUGGGCGCUAGCCUGAACCAGCCAAGUAGCGUGAAGGAUGAAGGGUUAUGGGUCGUAAACUACUUGGAUAUAAGAAUAGGUAUUAUAUGAAUAAGGAUCGGCUAACUCCGUGCCAGCAGCCGCGGUAAUUC
rnacentral:rRNA from 1 species